rnacentral:rRNA from 1 species
CAGUCGCCACGGGAAUACGUAGGGUGCGAGCGUUAAUCGGAAUUACCGGGCGUAAAGCGUGCGCAGGCGGUUGUGUAAGACAGGUGUGAAAUCCCCGGGCUUAACCUGGGAACUGCGCUUGUGACUGCACAGCUAGAGUAUGGCAGAGGGGGGUGGAAUUCCACGUGUAGCAGUGAAAUGCGUAGAGAUGUGGAGGAACACCGAUGGCGAAGGCAGCCCCCUGGGCCAAUACUGACGCUCAUGCACGAAAGCGUGGGGAGCAAACAGGAUUAGAUACCCCUGUAGUCCCUGUCUCUUAUAU